AUUGGAUCUCCUCCAAACAGGAUUUAAAGGUAAAUGCCUAUCCCAAUGGCAUUUUUUGUUAUCAGUCUUGUAUCUUCAGGAUUAACAGUUCAUUAAUAUUAGACACAUGGAUGCGUUAUUGUCCAAAUUUCUAUCAAGUCUCUCA